rnacentral:rRNA from 1 species
AACGAACGCUGGCGGCAUGCCUAACACAUGCAAGUCGAACGAGACCUUCGGGUCUAGUGGCGCACGGGUGCGUAACGCGUGGGAACCUGCCCUUAGGUUCGGAAUAACUCCCCGAAAGGGGUGCUAAUACCGGAUAAUGUCUUCGGACCAAAGAUUUAUCGCCUUUGGAUGGGCCCGCGUUGGUUUAGCUAGUUGGUAGGGUAAAAGCCUACCAAGGCGACGAUCCAUAGCUGGUCUGAGAGGAUGAUCAGCCACACUGGGACUGAGACGCGGCCCAGACUCCUACGGGAGGCAGCAGUGGGUAAUAUUGGACAAUGGGCGAAAGCCUGAUCCAGCAAUGCCGCGUGAGUGAUGAAGGCCUUAGGGUUGUAAAGCUCUUUUACCCGGGAUGAUAAUGACAGUACCGGGAGAAUAAGCUCCGGCUAACUCCGUG